GUUGGCGUGCUUAACACAUGCAAGUCGAACGAAGCACUUUAUUUGAUUUCUUCGGAAUGAAGAUUUUGUGACUGAGUGGCGGACGGGUGAGUAACGCGUGGGUAACCUGCCUCAUACAGGGGGAUAACAGUUGGAAACGACUGCUAAUACCGCAUAAGCGCACAGGGUCGCAUGACCUGGUGUGAAAAACUCCGGUGGUAUGAGAUGGACCCGCGUCUGAUUAGCCAGUUGGUGGGGUAACGGCCUACCAAAGCGACGAUCAGUAGCCGACCUGAGAGGGUGACCGGCCACAUUGGGACUGAGACACGGCCCAAACUCCUACGGGAGGCAGCAGUGGGGAAUAUUGCACAAUGGGGGAAACCCUGAUGCAGCGACGCCGCGUGAGCGAAGAAGUAUUUCGGUAUGUAAAGCUCUAUCAGCAGGGAAGAAGAAAUGACGGUACCUGACUAAGAAGCACCGGCUAAAUACGUGCCAGCAGCCGCGGUAAUACGUAUGGUGCAAGCGUUAUCCGGAUUUACUGGGUGUAAAGGGAGCGCAGGCGGUACGGCAAGUCUGAUGUGAAAGCCCGGGGCUCAACCCCGGUACUGCAUUGGAAACUGUCGGACUAGAGUGUCGGAGGGGUAAGUGGAAUUCCUAGUGUAGCCGGUGAAAUGCGUAGAUAUUAGGAGGAAACACCAGUGGCGAAGGCGGCUUACUGGACGAUUACUGACGCUGAGGCUAGAAAGCGUGGGGAGCAAAUAGGAUUAGAUACUUUGGUAGUCCUUGCCGUAAACGAUGAAUACUAGGUGUCGGGGAGCAUUGCUCUUCGGUGCCGCAGCAAACGCAAUAAGUAUUUCACCUGGGGAGUACGUUCGCAAGAAUGAAACUCAAAGGAAUUGACGGGGACCCGCACAAGCGGUGGAGCAUGUGGUUUAAUUCGAAGCAACGCGAAGAACCUUAUCAAGUCUUGACAUCCCGAUGACAGAACAUGUAAUGUGUUUUCUCUUCGGAGCAUCGGUGACAGGUGGUGCAUGGUUGUCGUCAGCUCGUGUCGUGAGAUGUUGGGUUAAGUCCCGCAACGAGCGCAACCCUUAUUCUUAGUAGCCAGCGGUUCGGCCGGGCACUCUAGGGAGACUGCCAGGGAUAACCUGGAGGAAGGUGGGGAUGACGUCAAAUCAUCAUGCCCCUUAUGACUUGGGCUACUCACGUGCUACAAUGGCGUAAACAAAGGGAAGCGAGCUUACGAGGGGGAGCAAAUCUCAAAAAUAACGUCUCAGUUCGGACUGCAGUCUGCAACUCGACUGCACGAAGCUGGAAUCGCUAGUAAUCGCGAAUCAGAAUGUUGCGGUGAAUA
rnacentral:rRNA from 1 species